rnacentral:rRNA from 1 species
AUUGAACGCUGGCGGUAUGCUUAACACAUGCAAGUCGAACGGUAACAGGCCUUCGGGCGCUGACGAGUGGCGGACGGGUGAGUAACGCGUAGGAAUCUGCCUUAUAGUGGGGGACAACGUGGGGAAACCCACGCUAAUACCGCAUACGCCCUACGGGGGAAAGCGGGGGAUCGUAAGACCUCGCGCUAUGAGAUGAGCCUGCGUUAGAUUAGCUAGUUGGUAGGGUAAAGGCCUACCAAGGCGACGAUCUAUAGCCGGCUUGAGAGAGUGACCGGCCACAUUGGGACUGAGACCACGGCCCAAACUCCUACGGGAGGCAG